rnacentral:rRNA from 1 species
GAUGAACGCUGGCGGCGUGCUUAACACAUGCAAGUCGAACGGUGAAGGCGGAGCUUGCUCUGCUGGAUCAGUGGCGAACGGGUGAGUAACACGUGAGCAAUCUGCCCCUGACUCUGGGAUAAGCGCUGGAAACGGCGUCUAAUACUGGAUACGAGCUGCGAAGGCAUCUUCAGCAGCUGGAAAGAACUUCGGUCAGGGAUGAGCUCGCGGCCUAUCAGCUUGUUGGUGAGGUAACGGCUCACCAAGGCGUCGACGGGUAGCCGGCCUGAGAGGGUGACCGGCCACACUGGGACUGAGCCACGGCCCAGACUCCUACGGGAGGCAGCAGUGGGGAAUAUUGCACAAUGGGCGAAAGCCUGAUGCAGCAACGCCGCGUGAGGGACGACGGCCUUCGGGUUGUAAACCUCUUUUAGCAGGGAAGAAGCGAAAGUGACGGUACCUGCAGAAAAAGCGCCGGCUAACUACGUG